UUUUCGGUAAACUUCCGGGUUCAGGGUCUCAGUUAUCUGUAAAAUUCCAGGCAAGCGUGAAAAUAAUCAGACAACCAGCUGUUCCGACGAAGUAAACAAAACGCAGCUCCAAUUUUUAAAAAAACGUGGCGACAUUUUUUAGGUUUCAUCCAUCUGAAAUACAAUGGAUAUAAGUUCACCUGCUAAUGAAGGACAAGUUAAAAGUCAUUUAUAUGCCUCUGCAUCAGAAAUUAUACAAUCAGACACAAAUAAGAAAGUAGGAGUGGAUGAAAAAAAGUAUAGUGAAGAUUUUUCCACUGAAAGCCAGUGCAGUAACAAAAGAUGGAGUUUUGAAACUGCUGUUGAUACACAUACAUCUUUUCCUUCAUUUCGUCUAUCUGAAUUUUGGAAAAAAGAUAUACUUUUGCAAAAUGAGGACAAGAACUUCAAAAAAGUAUCUGAAAAUAAUGAUGCCCGUAGCGCAACUUCUACAUGUACCCACACAGAAGCUAUAAUGGAUUAUUUGAAAAAAAUUGAAAAAGAGAGACUGAUUUCUAAUGAUACAGCUGAGAAAGUUCUAAACGAUUUGAAUAAGGUGAUCAGAAAGAGAUUUCCAGGAAUGAGCAUUACUCUAUAUGGAUCUUAUUCUUGUGACCUUGCAGUUAGUACAUCUGAUCUAAACUUUGCCUUGGAAACAAACUGCUGUAUAAAAAAUCCUAUUUUAUUUGAAAUCCGCAAAUGCCUUGCUAAAGAAUUAGCAAAGUAUGAUGUACUACCUUUUGACGGGGUGAUGUCUGUAAAAAAGUCAAAGAUUUGUUUCAUAGAACCAUACACACGUGUAACCUGUGAAGUGAUGUACUUAGGAAAGUAUACGGAGAAUGUUCAUAAAAUGUCAGGCUUUCUGAAAGCACUAUGUUCCUUUGACCACAGAAUUAAAACAUUGUUUAUUGCUGCAAGAAUUUGGGCAGAGGUGUGCUCAAUACAUGAAACUGAAGAUGGGAGACUUCCUCCAGUGGCAUUUAAUUUGAUGGUGGUGCACUUUUUGCAGCAGCUUGAGAAACCGCUUCUACCCAUAAUAGAUAUUUCUAUAACUAGCUGGGGUCCGAGAUGUCAGGAGAACUCAAAUACUUCUUCAGUUGGUGAAUUAUGGUUAGAAUUCUUAAAUUAUUACAGAACAUUUAAUUGGGAAGCAUAUAAUGUGUCAAUUGUUGAUAAACACCCUGUCUUGAAGAGUUCUAAAUCUUGGAAAUCCCCACUGAUUGCUAUUGAAGAUCCUUUCAGUGGGAAGAAUGUUGCUGCUUCAGUCACCAGUUCUGAUGUAGCUGAUUUUAUAAAAUAUUGCUUCAACACAUUUUAUGAAUAUUUUUCAGUGCCGCCAAAAGAUUGUGAAGCCUGUUGUACUGCAAGCCUGUUAAAUAAUAAUAAAUACAGUCUUGCGAUUAAUAUUGAUCCACAUUUGCCCUCACCUUUUUCUUCAUCCAUUUUGUCAGAGGUCUGGAAGAAGGAUAUGCUUUCAUUGAAUGAACAACAUAAUUCUAAAACUACAUCUGAAAAACAUAAAGGCUCUUGUGUAGCUGCUAGAUGUGCGCAUAUAGAGGCUUUAAGUGAUUAUUUGAAAGCAGUUGAGAAAGAGAGGCUGAUUUCUAAUGAUACUGCUGAAAAAGUUCUAAAAGAUCUGAAUAAAGUUAUUACAAGGAAAUUUCCAGGAAUUAGUGUUACUCUAUACGGAUCUUACUCUUGUGAUCUUGCAGUUAGUACAUCUAAUCUAAACUUUGCCUUGCAAACAAGCUGUAAUAUAAAAAAUCCAAUUUUAUUUGAAAUCCGCAAAUGCCUUGCUAAAGAAUUAACAAAGUAUGAUGUACUGCCUUUUGAUGAAGAUAUGUCUGUAAAAAAGUCAAAGAUUUGUUUCAUAGAACCAUACACACGUGUUACCUGUGAAAUGAUGUACUUAGGAAAGCAUACGGAGAAUGUACAUAAAAUGUCAGGCUUUCUGAAAGCACUAUGUUCCUUUGACCACAGAAUAAAGACACUGUUUAUUGCUGCAAGAAUUUGGGCAGAGGUGUGCUCAAUACAUGAACCUGAAGAUGGGAGACUUCCUCCAGUUGCAUUUAAUUUGAUGGUGGUGUACUUUUUGCAGCAGCUUGAGAAACCACUUUUACCUAUAAUAGAUAUUUCUAUAACUAGCUGGGGUCCCAGAAGUCAGGAGAACUCAAAUACUUCUCCAGUUGGUGAAUUAUGGUUAGAAUUCUUAAACUAUUACAGAACAUUUAACUGGGAAGCGUAUAUUGUGUCAAUUGUUGAUAAACACCCUGUCUUAAAGAGUUCAAAAUCUUGGAAAUCCCCACUGAUUGCUGUUGAAGAUCCUUUUAGUGGGAAGAAUGUUGCUGCUUCAGUCACCAGUUCUGAUGUAGCUGAUUUUAUAAAAUACUGCUUCAACACAUUUUAUAAAUAUUUUUCAGUGCCGGCAAAAGGUCAAGUGAGACAUAAAUGCCAAAAAAGACUAUAUUCAUUUAGCAUGUGUGAUUUACGAGUUCCCAAUUCUUCUGAUCCUUCAGAAAAAUGAGUCAUUUUUAUGAAGGUAAUUUUUUCCAUAGGAGAUAACAUAAGCUGAAGAGUGUCUAGAUUUUGUAUAUUUAUAAACAAUGUUAAUAUGUGUCGUUGACGACCACUGCGAUAGAUGAUUCAGCUAACAAGGCAGAGAGCCGACAGAGCACCUUCAUGCUCAAAGUCUGGACAAGGGAAUCCCAUAAAGAUUCUUUGGAUGAUUUCAUUUUGACACUUUUAUAUCAAGAAAAUCGCAAGAGAUGAAAAGCUUUAAUUUAUCAAAUAACUUUUAAUUACAAUGAAAAUAAAAUUAAUAAUUAAUGUUCAUACAUGUGGAUAAACUUAGCAAUGUGCCAGAUACUGAUGUAAAGUAAAGCUUACAGAUAUAUGAAAUAGAUUAAGAUAAAAUAAAAUUUAAUAUGAAAAUUUAUGC